rnacentral:rRNA from 1 species
GCUAAACGCGAAGAACCUUACCCAGGCUUGACAUGCAGAGGACAGUGUCAGAGAUGGCAUCUCCCGCAAGGGCCUCUGUGCAGGUGCUGCAUGGCUGUCGUCAGCUCGUGCCGUGAGGUGUUGGGUUAAGUCCCGCAACGAGCGCAACCCUUAUCGUUAGUUGCCAGCACGUAAUGGUGGGCACUCUAGCGAGACUGCCCGGGUUAACCGGGAGGAAGGUGAGGAUGACGUCAAGUCAGCAUGGCCCUUAUGUCUGGGGCUACACACGUGCUACAAUGGCCGGUACAAUCGGAAGCGAAACCGCGAGGUGAAGCCAAUCCUCAAAAGCCGGCCCCAGUUCGGAUUGCAGUCUGCAACUCGACUGCAUGAAGUUGGAAUUGCUAGUAAUGGCGUGUCAGCUACAACGCCGUGAAUACGUUCCCGGGUCUUGUACACACCG